rnacentral:rRNA from 1 species
AUGAUAGGCCUGAGUUGGAACUGCCGAGGAAUCGGAGGCGCCUCGACAGUUCGUGAUCUCACCGGCCUCGUUCAAACUCACCGCCCACAGUUCGUGUUUUUGUGUACUAGGCAAAAGUCUGAAAGAGUUCGUCGUUUGUGUCAUCGCUUAGGUCUGCGUGGCUUUUGCGGUGUCGACAAUGAAGGUCAGAGUGGUGGUUUAGCUCUGUUCUGGAAUGAUCAGUUAUCAGUUGAGAUU